rnacentral:lncRNA from 1 species
CACAACUGGAUAGGAAUAUUUGAAGGACCAUGUUCUCCUGGGAUGGAGUGAGAAAAAAAGGGAAGAUUCUCUUCUCAGCAAGCUGGUGAAGCUUUUACCUCAAAGGCUGAUUUGACUCUGGUUCCAGGAAAGUGUCAUGUGUACCUGGAAAGGGCUCCGUAUGCACUGCUCACAACCCAAGUUCCACAUUGGACUACAACUCUGUUAACCACCAUCACUGUCCGGCAUUUUCUUUUCAGGGUUAAUCAGCAGAGUGAUAUGGAGUCUCAUUCUUGACCAGGAGCAGCAAGGACAGCUCUGAGCAAGAGAAUCAUAGGAAGGAAAUCUCUCAGUCAGCCAUGCCAGGUGGUGGUGUUGCACUUGUGUCUAUCAUGGUCCUCUGGGAUUGGGAAGAUGUGCCGGACUGAUAAUGUUAUUCACAGAGUCACUGCUGAGACAUCAAUGGUCUGCCAAGCUGUGGUGCUCAAGGGCAAGAUUACAUUAGCUGAAGACAUCCUGGUUCUUUGAAAACCCAGUAGUAAUACAAAAGAGAAAGAUUUCACCUGGGGAGGGACAAAUUCCUUAUCAGCUCAGCUCAUCCCACCUACUGAGGUGGGAGUGCUUUCUGCCCUCAUCAGCUUGAGGAUUCCAUCGGCAUAAGAUCAGGUAUAAGAUCACUGUGAUACUCUCUCCAAUUAUUGUGUGUAUCCAAUAAAUAGUGGCUACCUGGGAGAGUUCUUGUCUUUACCCACUUGAGGCUCUGACCUGCUGGCUCCC